AGUCUUGUAUUCAAUCUAUGAUUUUAAAUUGCAAAUUUAAAGGUACCUUUAUGUGUUAAGGCUU
rnacentral:tRNA from 1 species